CCACCCGUCACAAGUGUGUGUUUCUUGUCGUUGGACACUGUCAUUUGCACCGUGUUUCGAUGUUGAAUGUAAGGAGAUGACUCGUGAACGACCUUGGAAAUGCUGAGGAGACGAGACAUCGUUGCCGGCGUACUGAUUGUGUUACCUUGGACGCUGCUCAUCAGCGUUUGGCACCAGAUCAGCCUCCGCUCUCUGCUCACUGCUACAACAGAAGAGCACGACAGCCGCUCUGACUUCCAGGCUUCAAAGGAAUCCCACCCAGCUCGGACUCGGGACGACAAUGAGGGAGUCGAGCAUGUGUACCGCCGGCCUCCGCCCUGGUCUGAUAGCCUCCCCGUCAUCCACGUAGUCACCCCCACUUACAGCCGGCCAGUGCAGAAGGCUGAGCUGACCCGCUUGGCCAACACCCUGCUCCAUGUCCCCAACCUGCACUGGAUUUUGGUGGAGGACUCUCAUGAGAAGACCCUCCUGGUCAGACGCUUCCUCCAGGAGACAGGACUAAACUACACCCACCUCCAUGUAGAAACACCUUUGAGGUACAAGUCCAACAGGAAUGCCCAGAGCCCCGAAGUCCCACGGGGUACCCAGCAGAGGAACCUGGCUCUGCGGUGGCUCAGAGAGACCUUCAGCCUAAAUGACAGUCAGCCUGGUGUUGUCUACUUUGCGGAUGACGACAAUACCUACAGUCUACAGCUGUUCGAGGAGAUGCGUUCCACUAAGACGGUGUCUGUGUGGCCCGUGGCGUUUGUGGGAGGCCUGCGAUACGAGACCCCCAAAAUCAACCACUCAGGGAAGGUCUAUGGCUGGAAAACGGUCUUUGACCCUCAACGGCCUUUUGCAAUCGACAUGGCUGGGUUUGCUGUGAACCUGGGCCUCGUUCUGUCCAAACCUCAGGCUUCCUUCCAACUACGAGGGGUGAAGGCGGGCUACCAGGAGAGCAGCUUGUUGAAGGACCUGGUUUCUCUGAGGGAUCUGGAGCCAAAAGCUUCAAACUGCACCAAGAUAUUGGUGUGGCACACGCGCACCAAGGAGCCUGAGCUGGUAAAUGAGGGCAAGAAAGGAUUUACAGACGCUAAAGUGGAGAUAUGACACACGAUCUGACGCAGGUCUGGACCAGGGGCGGCACCCUGUACCUCAGGAGCCCCACCAUGGUAGUGGAGAUGGUUGAGAUGUCUGACAGCUGCAGCCCGCUGCUCUAAUCACAUCCGUCCCAUCAGCAGAGUCCAUAGAAGUGGUCUGCCUGAUGCUGGUGCAGAAUGCUACACCACAGCAUGCUGUUUCCUGGUCCACACACGUCUGUACAAGUCCUCUGCAUCUUCUGAGGAUGGGGAUGAACGCAACCUCAGGUGCUGUUCUGAGCAGGACGUGUAACUCCUCAUGGUUCUUAUUCGGCCACGUCUGAACCAGCUGCACGGCUCGACGAGAACGUUUUCAGAACUGCUUUGCCAAGAGGGUCUCCAUGACGACCUUGCUGCUCCGGCCUGGUGUCGUUUCUGCUGAUGUCUUGUGAUUUUUGAUAUCUGAGGAUAAAAUGUGACACUUGUGAGAAUAAAGUGGCUUCUGCUGUGACCAAGUCA